rnacentral:rRNA from 1 species
AGCGAACGCUGGCGGCAGGCCUAACACAUGCAAGUCGAACGAACCUUUCGGGGUUAGUGGCGGACGGGUGAGUAACACGUGGGAACGUGCCUUUAAGUUCGGAAUAACUCAGGGACACUUGUGCUAAUACCGAAUGUGCCCUUCGGGGGAAAGAUUUAUCGCCUUUAGAGCGGCCCGCGUCUGAUUAGCUAGUUGGUUGAGGUAAUGGCUCACCAAGGCGACGAUCAGUAGCUGGUCUGAGAGGAUGAUCAGCCACAUUGGGACUGAGACACGGCCCAAACUCCUACGGGAGGCAGCAGUGGGGAAUCUUGCGAAAUGGGCGAAAGCAUGAAGCAGCCAUGCCGGGUGAAUGAUGAAGGUCUUAGGAUUGUAAAAUUCUUUCACCGGGGACGAUAAUGACGGUACCCGGAGAAGAAGCCCCGGCUAACUUCGUG